CAUUGCUGGAACUGCGCCUCGGCGCACCCAGAAACCCUUUGUGAACUUAUACCUAUACUGUUGCCUCGGCGUCAGGCCGGCCCCCCCGUGGGGCCCCUCCCCCCGGGGAGGAGCAGGCCCGCCGGCGGCCAAGUAAACUCUUGUUUUUACCCUGAAACUCUGAGAAAAAAACAAAAAUGAAUCAAAACUUUCAACAACGGAUCUCUUGGUUCUGGCAUCGAUGAAGAACGCAGCGAAAUGCGAUAAGUAAUGUGAAUUGCAGAAUUCAGUGAAUCAUCGAAUCUUUGAACGCACAUUGCGCCCCCUGGUAUUCCGGGGGGCAUGCCUGUUCGAGCGUCAUUUCAACCCUCAAGCCUGGCUUGGUGAUGGGGCACUGCUUCCUGACGGGAGCAGGCCCUGAAAUACAGUGGCGAGCUCGCCAGGACCCCGAGCGCAGUAGUUAAACCCUCGCUCUGGAAGGUGCUGGCGCGGCCCUGCCGUAAAACCCCCAACUUCUGAAAAUUUGACCUCGGAUCAGGUAGGAAUACCCG
rnacentral:rRNA from 1 species